UGAGUACGAGAUGCUACGGCAUUGAAGCAGUCUAUGUCAUACUUCCAAGAAAAGCUUGCACUGUCAUAAACAAAGAAUGCCUGUACCAUAACCGACACAGGUGGGUAGGUAGAGUAUACUAAGGGGCGCGAGAUAACUCUCUCUAAGGAACUCGGCAAAAUGACUCCGUAACUUCGGGAGAAGGAGUGCCUUAUUUUUAAGGUUGCAAUAACAAGAUCCAAGCAACUGUUUAUCAAAAACACAGGUCUCCGCUAAGUCGUAAGACGAUGUAUGGGGGCUGACGCCUGCCCAGUGCCAGAAGGUUAAAGAAGUUGGUUAGCAUUCGCGAAGCUGAUAACUGAAGCCCUGGUGAACGGCGGCCGUAACAAUAACGGUCCUAAGGUAGCGAAAUUCCUUGUCGGGUAAGUUCCGACCCGCACGAAAGGCGUAAUGAUUUGGAUACUGUCUCGGAGAGGGACUCGGUGAAAUAGACUUGUCUGUGAAGAUGCGGACUACCUGCACCUGGACAGAAAGACCCUAUGAAGCUUUACUGUAACUUGAAAUUGAAAUUGGACUUUAGUUGCGCAGGAUAGGAGGGAGGCGUUGAGAAUAUUCUUGCGGGAGUAUUGGAGCCAUCAGUGAGAUACCACUCUUCUAAUGUUAGAUUUCUAACUUUGUAUCAUUAUCUGGUCAAAGAACAGUUUCAGGCGGGCAGUUUGACUGAGGCGGUCGCCUCCUAAAGGGUAACGGAGGCGCACAAAGGUUUCCUCUGAACGAGUAGAAAUCGUAUCUAGAGUGUAAAGGCAUAAGGAAGCUUGACUGUGAGACCUACAAGUCGAGCAGGGACGAAAGUCGGUCUUAGUGAUCUGACGGUGCUGAGUGGAAAGGCCGUCACUCAACGGAUAAAAGUUACUCUAGGAUAACAGGCUGAUCUCCCCCAAGAGUUCACAUCGACGGGGAGGUUUGGCACCUCGAUGUCGGCUCAUCGCAUCCUGGGGCGGUAGUACGUCCCAAGGGUUGGGCUGUUCGCCCAUGAAAGCGGUACGCGAGCUGGGUUCAGAACGUCGUGAGACAGUUCGGUCCAUAUCCGGUGUAGGCGUUAGAAUAUUGAGAGGAGCCUUCUCUAGUACGAGAGGACCGAGAAGGACAUACCUCUAGUGUACCAGUUAUCGUGCCAACGGUAAACGCUGGGUAGCUAUGUAUGGAGUGGAUAACCGCUGAAAGCAUCUAAGUGGGAAGCCCACCUCAAGAUAAG
rnacentral:rRNA from 1 species